ACCUCUGGAGAUCAUCUAGUCCAACCCCCCUGUGUGGGCUCACCUGCUGUGCUCCCCUCAUACUUUCAAAACACUUUUUGUGGCUGUAGCGAGCAGGAACAAAAAGCAGUGAAGGAAGGCAAGGUGAAACCUAACUUAGCCUGGGCAUGAAGUCCCUGCAUCCAAACAAUCCCACUGCUGAUCUUUCUUCUCACUUUAAUUGCCAUCAUGCAUGAAGGAAUGAAAGGAACUCCACAUUUGGAGAAGCAAUAUGCCAAAACCAGUGUUUGCUGUUGAAACUGAUCCUCUGUGCUGGGCCAGGGAAAGAAGUUGUCCAGGAAGGGCACGGAUGGGCAGCAGUGAUAACGCAGUAACUACAAUAAACUCUCACACUGCUGGCUGUGGAGACAGCAGUGGAGUGCAUGCGGAAACACCGUGUGGCUGCCUGUGCUGAGGCCACCAGGCAGGGCUGGGGCAGUGCCCCAAGCUCCAGCAACAAAGCCAGUACCUACUCAAACCAGUGGGUUUAAACCCAACGGGAACAGCUUUUCCUGAGGCGCGCAAGGGACCAGCCUGGUGCUCCCAGAGCAUGGGAGCGUGGGCCAGUGUGCAUGGCUGCUGCCUUGGGCCUGCACCUCUUGGGAGCCCAUUGCAGCAGGGCAGGACACCCCGGAGCAUGGGCACGGCACCUCUCAUCUGCCCAAACAGGAUUUAGAUAGAAAGGUGUCUGCAGAGCACAAACUCCCCACCCAGCCCCAGGAGGGAGCCAGCAUGCCAUGCUCAAGCCUCUGCCAUGGCAAGCAGGAAGGGAAACCACGCCUGCAAUGCACGAGUCGCCCUGCAGUCGGUGGGAGAGAACAGCCACGCUUUAGCUGGGAUAUAUUUAAAGCUGUCCUAAAGGAGAACUACCACGAGGAAAGUAAUCACAAAGGAGGGAACCAAGUGUGAGUGACUUUCUGUACAGGUUGGGCAGCAAGCCAACCUGCAGAGAAUCAGGUGCCAAAACCUGUGCAGCCAUAGCAGCUGCUAUCCCUUCCCCUCAUCAUCAAUUCUGGGAAGCCAAGCGCACGAGUCAACUGUUUCUCUUGAUGCAAUUGUGUUUACUUAAAAA